rnacentral:rRNA from 1 species
AGUGAACGCUGGCGGUAGGCCUAACACAUGCAAGUCGAACGGCAGCACAGUAAGAGCUUGCUCUUACGGGUGGCGAGUGGCGGACGGGUGAGGAAUACAUCGGAAUCUACUUUUUCGUGGGGGAUAACGUAGGGAAACUUACGCUAAUACCGCAUACGACCUACGGGUGAAAGCAGGGGAUCUUCGGACCUUGCGCGAUUGAAUGAGCCGAUGUCGGAUUAGCUAGUUGGCGGGGUAAAGGCCCACCAAGGCGACGAUCCGUAGCUGGUCUGAGAGGAUGAUCAGCCACACUGGAACUGAGACACGGCCCAGACUCCUGCGGGAGGCAGCAGUGGGGAAUAUUGGACAAUGGGCGCAAGCCUGAUCCUGCCAUACCGCGUGGGUGAAGAAGGCCUUCGGGUUGUAAAGCCCUUUUGUUGGUAAAGAAAAGCAGCAGGUUAAUACCCCGCUGUUCUGACGGUACCCAAAGAAUAAGCACCGGCUAACUUCGUG